CCUACGGGAGGCAGCAGUGGGGAAUAUUGGACAAUGGGCGAAAGCCUGAUCCAGCAAUGCCGCGUGAGUGAAGAAGGCCUUCGGGUUGUAAAGCUCUUUUACCCGGGAAGAUAAUGACUGUACCGGGAGAAUAAGCUCCGGCUAACUCCGUGCCAGCAGCCGCGGUAAUACGGAGGGAGCUAGCGUUGUUCGGAAUUACUGGGCGUAAAGCGUACGUAGGCGGCUUGGUAAGUCAGAGGUGAAAGCCCACGACUCAAUCGUGGAACUGCCUUUGAGACUGCUUCGCUUGAAGAUGGGAGAGGUUAGUGGAAUUCCGAGUGUAGAGGUGAAAUUCGUAGAUAUUCGGAAGAACACCAGUGGCGAAGGCGGCUAACUGGACCAUUCUUGACGCUGAGGUACGAAAGCGUGGGAGCAAACAGGAUUAGAUACCCUGGUAGUCCACGCCGUAAACGAUGAUAACUAGCUGUCGGGGCUCUUGGAGCUUCGGUGGCGCGAGCUACGCAUUAAGUUAUCCGUCCGUCGGGUAGGUACGGCCGCGAACGGUUAAACGUUAAAACGGUAAGUUAGUACGGACGUGAGACGUAGCGACGACGACGACGAGGGAGAG
rnacentral:rRNA from 1 species